CCUACGGGAGGCAGCAGUAGGGAAUCUUCCACAAUGGGCGAAAGCCUGAUGGAGCAACGCCGCGUGGGUGAAGAAGGUCUUCGGAUCGUAAAACCCUGUUGUUAGAGAAGAAAGUGCGUGAGAGUAACUGUUCACGUUUCGACGGUAUCUAACCAGAAAGCCACGGCUAACUACGUGCCAGCAGCCGCGGUAAUACGUAGGUGGCAAGGGUUAUCCGGAUUUAUUGGGCGUAAAGGGAACGCAGGCGGUCCUUUAAGUCUGAUGUGAAAGGCUUCGGCUUAACCGGAGUAGUGCAUUGGAAACUGGGAGACUUGAGUGCAGAAGAGGAGAGUGGAACUCCAUGUGUAGCGGUGAAAUGCGUAGAUAUAGGGAAGAACACCAGUGGCGAAGGCGGCUCUCUGGUCGGUAACUGACGCUGAGGUUCGAAAGCGUGGGUAGCAAACAGGAUUAGAUACCCCAGUAGUC
rnacentral:rRNA from 1 species